AGUUGUGUGCCAUGCAAUUUUGAUUGGAUUAAAACAUGAAAUCCAGUUGAUCAGCCAAGCAUAAGGAAAAGAAUCCUAAAAUGGGUUUUUGGAAAAAUUGAAAUCAGAGAUUCACCAGUUAAAAAUAAGUAAAAUUAACUGAAUUUCUAGAGUUUAAAAAGGUAUACAGAAAAUUAAACAAUAUUUUUGUGAAUUCAAAUUCCUCAUGUUUGAAGUAACCUUGGAUUCAAGCAUGGCUUAAACUGAAAUUCCUUCAAUGCAAAAGAAAAGAAGAAGAAGAAGAAGAAGAAACUUUCUCUAUAUUCUUCAUUUCAUUUUUCUGAUAUUCAGUUGUAGUAAACUGAAAUUCCUGCAGAUUUGUAGACUUGAUGCAAGGAUCAGGCAGAACCUUGCUGCCAUGCAGUAGUUGGAACAUGAGCUUGGGCCAUGUCUUCCUUUGAUUAUAGAGAAAUAAGGCAUGGGUUUUCAUUUACCCCAACAAUAUAUGAGGUAAUGCUUUGAUAUUUUGGAAUGGUUUUCUUUGAUUUUUUUUUUUUUUUUUUAAUAUUAGAGUGUAAUUAAAUUGAGAGUUGUUGUAGAUGCUAAUAGAUUCUCAACUUUCUAAAUCCGUUCCUUUACUACUAUUAUUGUGAUCAUUAUGUAGAAGAUUCUUGCUUGGA